CGCCGCCCCCGGCAGUGCUCGCUCUCUCUAGGCCCCAUGUAAAUCGCUGUGUUUGCUGGGGAGCCCUUAGUUCAAUUCUCAGGGGAUUAGGGCCAUUGAGAUUCUUAAUCAAUUGCUGGGUUCCACGCGAUCCUCUUUAGAAACUUUUUGCUUAAUAUGCAUCUAGAGACAUGCACGGCCCGCCUGCAGCGCUGGAGCCGAUGGAGUGGAGCCUGGGAGGCUGCAGGCGACCCCCAGGCUUCUAAACAGCAACGUCAGUUUAAUUAUUGCAGAUCCGUCACAGCUGCCAAGUCCUCUCUGUCUUCGUUGUUGUUAACGGGGAAACUUGCCGCCCGGUGGCUUUGCUUCAGGCGGAAGUCCGCGUGCUUUGAUACCCUCAGGGGGCACUUACAGGCUAGGUGGACACAGGUGGGCUGCGGGACUCCGCGAAUUUACCUUCCAGGGGAAUGCACUGCACACAUGCUGCACACAGGAGACAGGGAAGCCUGGCGAGGUUGGGUUUUCAGGCGCCACUGUAUACACUCUCAGUUCCACUGAUACCCUUUCUUUCUUCUACCCGCUUUCAGGCGCCACUGUAUACACUCUCAGUUCCACUGAUACCCUUUCUUUCUUCUACCCGCUUUCAGGCGCCACUGUAUACACUCUCAGUUCCACUGAUACCCUUUCUUUCUUCUACCCGCUUUCAGGCGCCACUGUAUACACUCUCAGUUCCACUGAUACCCUUUCUUUCUUCUACCCGGAGGCCCUGGUAGUUGGCUCUCGCCAGACAAUGUAAACUGGCACUACAAGUGGAAUAGACCAGACGUUUAUUUUCUGGGCUAGGGGUAAGAAUGCAGCAGUGAACAUGGUUCCUGCACUCAUGAAGCAAAUGUAUCCACUGUGGUACAAAAGAGACUGUAAAAAACAAACCCAAAUGGACAACAGGUAUCUAAAAGCAGGGGAUAUUUAAUCAGGAAUAUUCUAGGUUACUAGGGCUAUUCUGGCUAUUUGAGUUAAGGUCCAGGACUAUAUAACUUAGCAUCUAACUCUUAUUGUUUUAGGGCAGAAUCUAAUACCAUAGGUGUUGGCCUAUCCUUGAGUUAGUCAGGAAAAGGUUACAUGCUAUGGGCUGUGUUCUAGUCUGUUUUGUACUGUGGCUACUACACAGGUAUAUGAUCUUCCUCAGGGAACGGAGACGAUUUGGAGGGCGGUGACCACGUUUUUUGACCUUGGUCUCAACACAGUGUCUCCCAAAGAGUAGGGGAAUACAUAUGGAAUUAAAGUAUGUCAUGUGUACUCAUUUUAAAAAGCAGUUAGGUGUAUACUUUAAAAAGAGUUCUUCCCCAAAUACCUAAAAAAUAAAAAGUUUAGCACUUAAGCUGGUAAGUUUUAAUUAUUAUUUUAAGUCCUCUUUCAGAUUAUAAAUUCAUGCAUACCUGAUGGUAUAAACAAAAAGUUCUGAAAUAUCCGAACUAAGUCAUCGUUCAUUACUAGCAGGGUUAAACAUUGCAGAAGAGGUGCCACCUUGGAUAGUGUUAUUUGAUGGAGGCCAGGAUGAUGCAUCUGUCUUCUCUCUGAAGUGCCUUACAAAACAUUACGAGCGAGUAGGUCAUCAAAACAAAACACAAAGCAUGAGUUGCAAAGGGAAACAUUUAGCUUGCAAUUCUUAUUACAUCUUUAUUAUCAGUCAAGGUCACAGUCAUAUUAAAAAUAUAUAAUUUAAUUCUCAAAUAAUGUCUUUGUUCCUCUUUUUCCUAAAGUCCUUUGUCAAAAGAAGUCAAAGUUGAAUAUAUUUUGUAGCUGAUAUACAUAUGCUGACAGACAGCACAAUGUUCUGAAAUGAAAACAGAGAUAUUAUUGCUUUAUAAAAAGAAACUUGGUCCCAGAGAGGAGAAAAAUAGAUAGUACACAAGAGUGACAUAAGAAAAAAAGCAAAGCAUUAUCGGAGAAUUGUUUCCAUUUAAGUGAAAGCAGUAUCUGUGAUUUCUGGCUGACUGCUCCAAGUACCGUGUAUCUCCUACAUCAGUGCUUUGAAUGUAUUCUUCUAUAAAUGCAUGUUAAAUUAAUGUAACAGUAAUAAUAAAACAAAAAUAACUAUACAGCAAUUAGUCCACCAUUACCAAAAGGGUAACA